GACGAACCGUCCAAACGUUAUUCGGAAUCACUGGGCUUAAAGGGCGCGUAGGCGGCCGAGCGGGUCGUGGGUGAAAUCCCCCAGCUUAACUGGGGAACUGCUUACGAUACCACUGCGGCUCGAGGAAGGAAGGGGCAAUUGGAACUGUCGGUGGAGCGGUGAAAUGCGUUGAUAUCGACAGGAACGCCUGUGGCGAAAGCGAAUUGCUGGUCCUUUUCUGACGCUGAGGCGCGAAAGCCAGGGGAGCAAACGGGAUUAGAUACCCCGGUAGUCCUGGCCUUAAACGAUGAGAACUAGGUAGUGGGUCCGACCUGGGCACACUGCCGAAGCGAAAGUCUUAAGUUCUCCGCCUGGGGAGUAUGGUCGCAAGGCUG
rnacentral:rRNA from 1 species